ensembl:lncRNA
GCGCUGGCCCGCGGGCCGCGCUCCCAUUGGUCUUUUCAAACGGCGGCGGCGCGGGAGCGAUGGCGGCGGCGGAGGAGAGCGGUGCGAAAUGGGGCGGAACGGGGCGCUUGUGGGGCAGAGGGAGGCGCUUAUGGGGGAAGUUUGGGCACUUAUGGGGCACAGAGGCACUUAUGGGGCACGGGGUGACGCUUAUGGGGCACUUAUGGGGCUCAGGGGGGCACUUAUGGGGCAGAGUUGGGCACUUGUGGGGCAGAGGGAGGCACUUGUGGGGGAUAUUUGGACACUUAUGGGGCACGGGGUGACGCUUAUGGGGCACUUAUGGGGCACAGAGGCACUUGUGGGGCAGAGUUGGGCACUUGUGGGGCAGAAGGAGGCACUUAUGGGGCAGAGUUGGGCACUUAUGGGGCACAGCGACAUUUAUGGAGCACUUAUAGGGCAUGGAGUGACACUUCUGGGGCACUUAUGGGGCACAGGGGUCACUUAUGGGGCAGAGGGAGGCACUUAUGGGGGAAAUUUGGACACUUAUGGGGCACGGAGUGACGCUUAUGGAGCACUUAUGGGGCACAGAAGCACUUGUGGGGCAGAAGGAGGCACUUGUGGGGCAGAGUUGGGCACUUAUGGGGCACAGCGGCAUUUAUGGAGCACUUAUAGGGCAUGGAGUGACACUUAUGGGGCACUUAUGGGGCACAGGGGUCACUUAUGUUGGGCACUUAUGGGGCACAACGACAAUUAUGGAGCACUUAUAGGGCAUGGAGUGGCACUUAUGGGGCACAGGGGUCACCUAUGGGGCACUUAUGAGGCACUUAUGAUUCAGAAGGACGCACUUAUGGGGCACAGAGGCUCACUUAUGGGGCAGAGCUGGGCACUUAUGGGGCACAGAGGACUCUUAUGGGGCACUUAUGAGGCAGAUGGGAGGCUUAUGGGGCAGAGGGAGGCACUUAUGGGGCACAGAAUGAUACUUAUGGGGCGCAGAGGUCACUUAUGGGGCAGAGCUAGACACUUAUGGGGCACUUAUGGGGCAGAUGGGGCACUUAUGGGCCACCGGGGUUGACUUACGGGGCAGAGUUGGACACUUAACUAGCGCGGAGUGAAACUUAUGGGGCAGAGGGAGGCACUUAUGGGGCACAGAGCAACACUUAUGGAGCACAGGGGACACUUAUGAGGCAGAAGGACACACUUGUGGGGCACAGGAUGACACAUGUGGGGCACAGGGAGGGACUUAUGGGGCAUGGAGUGGCGCUUAUGGGGCACAGAGGUCACUUGUGGGGCAGAAGGACACACUUAUGGGGCAUAGGGGUUCACUUAUGGGACACAGAGGUGACUUAUGGGGCAGAGUGGGACACUUAUGGGGAACAGAGGACACUUACAGAGCGCAGGGGUCACUUGUGGGGCAGAAGGACACUUGUGGGGCACAGGGGUCACUUAUGGGGCAGAAGGACACACCUGUGGGGCACAGCGGUCACUUGUGGGGUGCAGGGGUCACUUGUGGGGCAGAAGGACACACUUGUGGGGCAGAGGGACACACCUGUGGGGCACAGGGGUCACUUGUGGGGUGCAGGGGUCACUUAUGGGGCAGAAGGACACACUUGUGGGGCACAGGGGUCACUUGUGGGGCAGAAGGACCCACUUGUGGGGCACAGAGGUCACUUGUGGGGCAGAAGGACACGUGUGGGGCACAGAGGACACUUGUGGGGCAGAAGGACACACUUGUGGGGCACAGGGGUCACUUGUGGGGCAGAAGGACCCACUUGUGUUUUCCUGUGAUGUGGCU